rnacentral:lncRNA from 1 species
UCCCAUCAAUUGAUAUCUUUUCUGGAGCUGACUAACAAAUUGCCUCUAAAAAACAAUUAUACUCUCAAUGACUAGUAAUUUUCCUACUUGCAUAUGGAUGGAAAUAUUGCUUGACGGUGUAGGGUCCUUGCGACACGGCAUUCUCUUGGUUAAGCCCCCUCAGUUACACCACCACGGCAGCAAUAACUGUGGAAGUUAAGCAUACCUGUUUUCUCUGAACAGAAAACAAUAAAGCAUUUAACGAUUUCAGAUAGUAAUUCGCUCUGAUGGCCAUUCACCACAAAAAGGCUGAGAUCAUAGAAAAGCCCAGUUUUCUAGACAAUCCUUUGACAUAUAUCAAAGCUAACUCUUCCGCACCAUUAGGUGGGACUAUACCAAAUAGGUAAGUUUCAGAAAGAGUGUUGAUGUACAAUAAAUGAUAAGAAAUCAUCAACCGACAUGAAACAAUAGAUGAAAAUGAAAUAUUUAACUUUAAAGGGUCAUCAGAAAAAUAAAAAUCCGUAAUAUAAAGGUAAAAGCUGUCUCAAAAAUGGAUAAACCUACCCCGCUCUAUGGUAAGAAUCAAGAGUCUUUGUUCAUGAGUAACCAAAAAUAGCUUUAGAUGCAAAAAAGGUGUGUGAAAGAAAAGUUGCGAUGAGGAAGUAAUUGAGAAUCAAAAUUGUUGUUGUGGGGGAAAAAGACAGACUUCUACCGAAGCUAAUGGCCACAUCGAUUUAAAGGUGCUCCAUUAAUUAAUAAAAUACAAAUUUCUUAGUGUUUUCAUAGAAUUUCCAUUCAGAUCUAGUGUAAACUAAAAUGAUUUCAAAAUAAAGGUAAAGCAUGUGUACACUGAUAUCACAGUGACGAGGGAGUAAUAUAGAAGACUUAUUUAAUUAAAAUCCUCGUGGAGCAUAGACACAAGAAGAUACAGAAUACACGGGCUAAAAGUUUGAAGGGCCAUCCAUGAACCUCUGAAACACAAUACUUGGAACCAUGAAUUGCAAAGUUAAAUUCACUCGAUUUCUUACACAUAUUUGUAACAUUCGUACCGCGCUAUAAAGUUUCAACUACCUAUCACAGAUAGUCUUCUGAAAAUUUCCAAACUUUAAACAGUCAAAUAUGGUUGUCGUUUAUGACCUAUAUGUACGUAUAUUAUGUAUGUGUGUAUGUAUGUAUGUAUGCAGAUGAAAGCCAUCUACCGGUUUCUGGAAGGUGGAUUAUAA